rnacentral:rRNA from 1 species
UGGGGAAUAUUGCACAAUGGGCGCAAGCCUGAUGCAGCCAUGCCGCGUGUGUGAAGAAGGCCUUCGGGUUGUAAAGCACUUUCAGCGGGGAGGAAGGCGAUAAGGUUAAUAACCUUGUCGAUUGACGUUACCCGCAGAAGAAGCACCGGCUAACUCCGUGCCAGCAGCCGCGGUAAUACGGAGGGUGCAAGCGUUAAUCGGAAUUACUGGGCGUAAAGCGCACGCAGGCGGUCUGUCAAGUCGGAUGUGAAAUCCCCGGGCUCAACCUGGGAACUGCAUUCGAAACUGGCAGGCUAGAGUCUUGUAGAGGGGGGUAGAAUUCCAGGUGUAGCGGUGAAAUGCGUAGAGAUCUGGAGGAAUACCGGUGGCGAAGGCGGCCCCCUGGACAAAGACUGACGCUCAGGUGCGAAAGCGGGGGGAGCAAACAG